UUUUUUUUAUUGAGAUGGAGUUUCACUUUGUCACCCAGGCUGCAGUGCAGUGGCAUGAUCUUGGCUCACUAAAACCUCCACCUACCGGGUUCAAGUGAUUCUUCUGCCUCAGCCUCCUGAGUAGCUGGGACUACAGGCACCUACAGGUGAACCCCACCAUGCCUGACUAAUUUGUGUAGUUUUAUUAGAGACAGGGUUUCGCCAUGUUGGCCAGGUUGGUCUUGAACUCCUGACCUCAGGUGAUCUACCCACCUCAGCCUCCCCAAGUGCUGGGAUUACAGAUGUGAGACACCAUACCUGCCUUAGAAGACAUUUUCUAUUGGAAAGAGAAAACACGAUUAGCAACCUAUUAGUGUUUAAUACUUAAUGUCUUCCUUAGUAAUAAACUAAGUCUAGAACAAAGUGCUUCCUGGCUGCCUAGUCAUUGAUUCAUUCGGUUCCACAUUUUCUUAAUGCCCAACCACCAAGUGUCUCUUGUAUGCCGAGUUCUAUGCUGAUUAUCAGUAAUUGAAUAAGAGGGGGUCUAGAUCUUAAGUAUUGCUUAAGAUGAAAGCCUCUAGGUUAACAAACUUAACACAAUGUUUCACUACUAAACAGACCAAAUACAAAAUCUUGUUAUUGGUCCCCAGAGAGAAUUGAAAUUCAAGUUUUCUCUCUCUCCUUUUCUCACUCACCACAAUAAGUCAGUUGCGUCAAGUCCUGUAGCUCUUUACUGAGCCAUCUUCUCACCCGUCCCCUUGUUUCAUUUGUCACACCCUAAAUAAAAAUUGUACUGGCUUUUUUUUUUCCCUGGAUUUACAGUGUUGAUACAUUGUCAAGAUUUACCUCUUCAUGUAGAUUCCCUGGGGAAAAUUACCUUUCCUCCUUCCCUUAAAUUCUUCAGAGAGGUUAGAAAGCCAUUAGUAACAUUCUGGUAUGUGGACAAAGUUUACCCAUUAUGUAUGGAUGUUUUACUCUUUUUAUUUUUCUGACAAUAAUCUCUUAAGGAAGUGUGGUUAUAAAAUAGCCAGCUGUUAUAAGUACUGUUUUUCUGGCCUUGGAACUUUUUUAAAGCUGUUUCUUAGUUUGCUCAUCUCAAAAUUCGGAAUAAGGAUAAAACCUAUUUCUAAGAUUGUUGGAUUAAAUGAAUUAACAUACUGGAAGCUCAUGAAAUUUGCCUGGCACACAGUAGUGCCUAAUAAACCAUCUCUCUUAUUUAGCCUGUUGUCUGAUUUCAGAAUCUACACUUGCUGAGCCAGAUUCUUUUCAUUUCAAGGUGAGCAAAAGCAUGCAAGGAAGAGAAGGAGGCAGGAAGAAAUUAAGCCCUAGGCCAAGGUCACACACCGAUUGGGAGCUGGAAUCAAAGGCAAUUUGGCCUGGCAAUGAAAAGGAUUCCAAGGCCCAUAUAAAGCAGUUCCAACCUUAAGAUCCAAAUUCUCGGACAUACAGGAAAUGCUAGGGGGAAAAAUCCUGUCCUCUCAGCCCAAGAGCCAUAUGAAACCAGACCUUCCUCAAAUCUGAUGACUCUCAGCCCAACUGCCCAUUAGAAUCGUUGUAAUUUAAAAAUAUCCUCGGAAAAUUCUAACGUGGCUAUCAAAGGUGAUCACUUGCUUCUAUGCCACUUUGUUUUCUCCCAAACGGGACAUCCAACCCUUUUCCUUUGAGGGUAGUUGUAGGGAAAGGAGUGGGUGGAAGGAGGAAAGAGCGGAAAAGGCUGGACCCGCCCCAAGCUGGUGUCAGUAUCUGGGAAGUGGGAGGAGCGUCAGCAGUAAACAGCCUCUGCUUGGAUUAUUAUCUCCUGCCCACACACUCAGAUUUGAAGGCUCGAAACAAAAAAUGCAAAACGUUUCAGUGGAAUUCCAGAAGCGUUCGACUAAACGACUGGGGUCUGUUUGGCCAGUCUGAGGAGCUGGGCGCUGAGGCGUAGGCAAGACUCAGCCCGCCUAGACUUCCCUGCCCACUUAAUUCCGAUCAAAGCAGAAACCGGCCCGGCGCGGUGGCUCACGCCUGUAAUUCCAGCACUUUGGGAGGCAGAGGCCGGCGGAUCACCUGAAGUCAGGAGACCAGCCCAGCUAACAUGGUGAAACUCCGUUUCUACUAGUGGCGGGCGUCUGUAAUCCCAUCUACUAGGCAGGCUGAGGCUGAGGCAGGAGAGUCGUCUGAAACCGUGAGGCGGAGUUUGCAUGCCGUGAGCCAAGAUCGCGCCACUGCACUCCAGCUUGGGCAACAAGAGCAAAACUCCAUUUCAAAACAGCAAACAGAUUUCAAAAAGCGCAGAAACCGAGAUCCGGAAGAAAACCUCGGCGAGACUCAGAAUCCAGGAAAACAGGUCCCUAGAAAUUUGCCCAUGGUCCCAGAUCUCCAUUUCUUGUGGGUGGGGCAGCUGUUACCAGACAGAAGCAAAGGUUUUCUUUUUUGGAGACGGUCUCACUCUGUUGCCCAGGCUGGAUGACAGUGGCACGGUCUCGGCUUACUGCAGCCUCCCCCUCCCUCCCACCUCAAGCGACUGUCCUGAGUCAGACUCAAGAGUAGCUGCAAUUGAAAGGUAUGUGCCACCACGCCCGACUAGUUUUUGUAAUUUUUUUUAGAGUCGAGUUUCAUCAUGUUGGCCAGGCUAGCGUCGAACUCGUGACCUCAGGUGAUCCGCGCCCCUCGGCCUCCCAAAGUGCUAGGAUUAGAGAGGUGAGCAGAAAGCAAAGGUUUUUGAGUGGCCACAGGCCCCAGUCUCCUUUUCUGGCUGUCCUGGAAACCUUGAGUCUCUUAAAAUAAAACAGCACGUUGCGUGUCAGGCAUCGUUCUAGAGUAGAGACAUUAGUCUGUUUUUUAGACACCUUUCAACUUCCUGGUUAACUUUUAGACAGUAUACUCUGCACUUUAGCAGGAAUGGAACCUAGAAGUUUAACAGAAUUAAGAAAAUGAGGCUGCCUACAGCCUAAAUUAAGAACAAAAUAGAAGGGGGACUAGUCGGAGGGCCGAACGAGGUUACCGUCACGCUACAGUUUUGCCUUGAAUUUACACUUUAAAAGCAAUCAGUUUUUUAGAUCACCAGGUAUCCCUAGCAUGUAAACUAAUUAGGCACCAACUAUGGUCGAUCUUACAAAACACUAGACUAGUUAGUUAGAAUAUAAUGAUAGCACAUGCGAACAAUAGAUCCUAACUGACCUAAUAGACCAACCUUUAGUAACACCGUUCCCCAAAAAACUGAAAAGCAAGAAUACACGUUGCUCCAGAUUGAGAUAAAAUUAACUUACCUUAGUGCUUUUUUCCCUCGUACGUACAAGCAGUGAGGUUAGCUCUUCC
ensembl:lncRNA